AACGAACGCUGGCGGCAUGCCUAACACAUGCAAGUCGAACGAAGGCUUCGGACUUAGUGGCGCACACGUGCGUAAAGCGUGGGAAUCUGCAGUUAGGUUCGGGAUAAUAGUUAGAAGUGACUGCUAAUACCGGAUGAUGACGUAAGUUCACAGAUUUAUCUUCUGAGGAUGAGCCCGCGUAGUUUUAGCUUGUCGCUGUGGUAAGAGCGCACCAAGGCGACGCUACUUAGCUGGUCUGAGAGGAUGAGCAGCGACACUGGGACUGGGACACGGCCCAGACUCUUACGGGAUGCAGGAGUGGGGAAUAUUGGACUAUGGGGUGAAUCAUGAUCGAGCUAUGCCUCUUGAGUGAUGAAGUCCGGAGAGUAGUAAAGCACGUUUACCCGUGAUUAUAAUGACAGUAGCGGGAGAAUAAGCCCCGGCUAACUCCGUG
rnacentral:rRNA from 1 species